rnacentral:rRNA from 1 species
GAUGAACGCUGGCGGCGUGCCUAAUACAUGCAAGUCGAGCGAACAGACGAGGAGCUUGCGCCUCUGACGUUAGCGGCGGACGGGUGAGUAACACGUGGAUAACCUACCUAUAAGACUGGGAUAACUUUGGGAAACCGUAGCUAAUGCCGGAUAAUAUAUUGAACCGCAUGGUUCACUAGUGAAAGACGGUUUUGCUGUCACUUAUAGAUGGAUACGGGCAGCAUUAGUUAGUUGGUAAGGAAAAGGCUUACCAAGGCGAGGAGUCGUAACCGACCCGAGCGCGUGAUCGCCUACACUGGAUCUGAGAAUGGUCCCAGACUCCGACGGUAGGCAGCAGUAGGGACUCUUACGCGAUGGAGGAGAGCCUAACAGAGCAACGCCGGCUGAAUGAUGAAGGACUUCUGAUCGGAAAGCGCUGUUAUUAGGGAAGUUCAAAUGUGUAAGUAACUAUGCACGUAUUGACGGUACCUAAUCAGAAAGCCACGGCUAACUACGUG